CCUGACUUUAGGAGCUUCCACAGCAAUGUGUGAAAACUCAUUUUCCACGCUGAAAAGCGUCUUCUCGGAGCAUCGGCGCAGUAUGCUGCACAGACGCAAGGCCCAGCUGAUUCAGCUUGCUUUUGAAAAGGACCUCACUCACAAGUUUAAGUCCGAGUGGAAGGACACAUUGAUGAGGAGGUUCAGCUCGGAGAAACGCCGCCUCCCGCUGUACUGACAGGAGGGACUGGAGAGAGGACAGCGCCGCCUCCUCUCAAAGUACCGAGCCUCCAGCCACUCCAGCACCGUGUCCAGUUCUCCCACGGCCUUUUGUGCUGCCUGGUUUAUCUCCAGCUGCUCAAAGAAGAGAAGAAAGAGCACGUUGGCCAAAGCACUGGAGGAGCGCUGCUGUUGUGGCUGAGAGGAGGCGUAGUUGCUGAACACUCUUUCAACAUAGAAACGCAGCACAAGACGCAGGAAACAGCAUGUCUGCCCCUCCUGAUACAGAAAAAAAUAAAGGCCUCUUGGCACAGUCUCCCCCUAAAUGACGAUAGAGUGAAGUUGUCUGAAGCACAUGAUGACAUCCACUGGAAUGGGAGGGCUCAGGUGAUUCCCGUCCAGACGCAGAUACCUGAGGCAUCAGAACAGGUGCAGGUGCUCCAGGUGACUGCUGAUGCGAGGAACAGAAGCGAGCUGGUUGUGGGACAGCUGCAGAUCCAGUAGGGUGGAUACGUUGAACACAUUCUUAGGAAGUCCUUUAUCACUCAGCUGGUUGCGGUUCAGCCUCACAAAUGCUAGAUGAGUGAACUCUUUGAAGUAGUCUCUAUCAUGAGGACAAUAGAGGAGAGAGACAACUGUAAAAAAAAAACGACAUCCUACCUACCCUACAAGUGUUUGUCAAUAGAUGCAUUAGUGGCUAUUAGUUUUGUGACACCGUGAGUGUUCUCUGUAUACUUGCUUUGGGAUGUCGUCUAUAUUGUUCUUGUCCAGGAAAAGCUGUAUGAGGCCGUUAGGUACACCAGCAGGCAUCUUUUUCAGAGCGUUGUGAGCCAGAUUUAGCUGCAUGAGACUCUUCAAGUCCUUAAAUGUGUUUUGUCCCACAUCACUGUCACUCAGCUGAAAGACAAGUCACCAGUGGUAAAGUGUUGAGAAGUUACUGUGUCUGGCUACUUUCAUGAUCAACUUUUCUCCCCUCUAAGCUGCAGGUUGUAUAUGACAAAAUCAAAAGCUUGCAUCAUUAGCUAAAUUGUCCAACAGCCUUUUAUAGUCUGUAAACUCAACCAUAUUCCAUAAACCACAUCAAACAGCGCUGUGUUUGGUCCGAAAACUGAAAGUAUAGUCCUCAAAUGCGUACUCCCUGCUUGUUGUUUUUUUCUCUGACUCAUACACAAGUAGAAAAGUUGUUUUACAAAUAUCUUAUUUUCUUGGCAGAUCUUAAAAUGAUCUGAUCUGUGACCCAGAACUGUGAAACGUCCAAGCUAGUAUAGUUUGAUGAGCUGUUUUAACCCUUAUAUUAUGUUAAGGGUCAAUUUGACCCUUUUCAGUUUUUGUGUUGACCAAAGUACUGGUUAUCCUUUCUUUUUCUUCAUGAAACUUUGUGACUUUUCCUCAUCUAGGGUCAUGAACUGGUGUGUAAAAUCUGGACACUUUGAUGUGUAGUGGAAUGUCUGUGCAGAGUUUGUAUACAAAGAUGAUGUUAAGGGUAAUUUUGACCCAGAUGCUUUACUGUGCGUAAAUUAGCUGUUCAGAUCAAAUAAACAUGUCUCUUA